rnacentral:lncRNA from 1 species
CUUCUUUUUACGAUAUAUACAAGUCAUCUGUGAUCUUGCCUAUACAGAUUCGUCUCAUCACCCACUGCCUAGAACUUCGGGUUCUGCCUAGAACACAGAACUAUUUGUAGUUCUUUGCAAGUUUUGCAUAUUUGCCUCUUUGAUCCCAUGGUCCCAUUUACCUGGAGACUUCCCUUCUUCUGCCUGACUGUUCUCCCCCUUUCACUCGCCCCCACUGUUAGUCAUUUACUGUUCGUCUUCAGCUUAAUUUCAUUUUCUCCAUUUCUUCUGGCAUGACUACUCCAGUGCUGGCACUCCUGAUUCCUGUCCAACAUUCCUGUGUCAUGGUGAGCGAGAUGUCCUUCAGCAACACUCCAAGCUUCAGCUCUCCUGCUAGUUCCAUCAUUUCAUGAAGAUGAUAUAAAUAGAAGCAGAGCAGCAGAUAGUGAAACCAACAGAAGCCAGAGAAUACGCACUGGGGAACUGAGCAUCGACCAGAUUACGGAGGUCCUAUUUCUUCUUCACAAUAGAAAUCGCCACCAUCAUGCAAGUUUUGGAUUCCCUGGGGUUAGUGCAUUCUGGUGCAAGCACCCCUCCCUGGGAUGCUGGGUAAAGGGUUGAAUUUUAUGAUAAGAUAAUGUGAAGCCAUAGUUAAAAUAAGAGAUAACAUUGAAGGAGGCUCCAUGAAUGCAAUCAAAAGAUUAUUUUCAAAUCCAGUAACAAAAAAUUUUAUUAACAAUACUAUUUUACCAGACUAGUUAGUAUUUAUUGAUAACUUAGUACAUAGUAGACUAUUGUGUUUUAUACAUCUUAUAUCUUUUAUUUCUCAAGUGCAUUCAGUUUCAAGCCUGUGUUGCUAGAGUGAUAGCAAAAAGAGAUGAAAACGGCAGCCCACAAGUAAGCUUCUGGAAGAUUGACUUUUUUGUUGAAUUUGCAGUUGUUUGACUUAAUGCAGCAAACCAUCUGCUUUCUUGGGCAUCCUAUGGGCACACAUCUUGGCCAGGUCACUUCAGACCUCUCACUUUAUAUUUGAUCUUGUAAUGUAGAGCCUGCAAAUGAUUCUGAGGCUCACUUUUUCUCUUUAAGACACACAGAACCACUUAAAACAUGUCAUUAUUUUCUGUUUCUGUUCUUUUUCCAUCCCACCUUAAGAAUAAUGAGUAUAAACCAAGAAAUCUUAUUUUAGGCUUCCUAAUUCUUAAUCCAG